UACGUAUGGAGCAAGCGUUAUCCGGAUUUACUGGGUGUAAAGGGAGCGCAGGCGGUCUUUUAAGUCUGAUGUGAAAGCCUUCGGCUUAACCGGAGUAGUGCAUUGGAAACUGGGAGACUUGAGUGCAGAAGAGGAGAGUGGAACUCCAUGUGUAGCGGUGAAAUGCGUAGAUAUAUGGAAGAACACCAGUGGCGAAAGCGGCUCUCUGGUCUGUAACUGACGCUGAGGUUCGAAAGCGUGGGUAGCAAACAGG
rnacentral:rRNA from 1 species